rnacentral:misc_RNA from 1 species
UCAGAGUGUUAAAACUCCCUAAACCCUUUGUGAACAUACCUAUUGUUGCUUCGGCGGGUGCUCUCGUGCCCGCCGAAGGUAUCAAAACUCUUCUGUAUUGUGAAUCUCUGAGUACACAAGCAAAUAAUCA